rnacentral:rRNA from 1 species
UACGAAGGGGGCUAGCGUUGCUCGGAAUCACUGGGCGUAAAGCGCACGUAGGCGGAUUGUUAAGUCGGGGGUGAAAUCCUGGAGCUCAACUCCAGAACUGCCUUCGAUACUGGCGAUCUUGAGUCCGGGAGAGGUGAGUGGAACUCCGAGUGUAGAGGUGAAAUUCGUAGAUAUUCGCAAGAACACCAGUGGCGAAGGCGGCUCACUGGCCCGAUACUGACGCUGAGGCACGAAAGCGUGGGGAGCAAACAGG